AGUCCGUCUGAUUCGCCACGCAUUCUUGAGGACUUGGUCACCCGCUCCUGCCCCCUUCCCAGUAGCAGCAUAGUUUUCCGAGUAAAACUGACAACCCUACUACUGCCACCACCAACAGCAAAAAAAGUGAUGCAGAGGCUCUGUGGUUUUGAACUUCUGGAGUACAUCAUUCGCAGCUGUGACAGAAUCACAACGCACAGCCCCUGUUCCAUUUGGGAAUUCCAGACACUUCGGACACCACAACACGAUCCCAGAUAAUUAAUGCCUGCACUAAUACUUUGGUUAUCGUGUGAGAAAACAAUGCUGGCCUCCAGAUGACAAGAACAGACACUUUUGAUCCUGGGAAAAAACCGGAGGAAACCGCUGGAAGAAUGAAUUGGAUAUUUACACGUCCAAAGGAGCAGCAAAAGAAAGGAUCUUGAACCCAUCCUGCCUUGCCUGCUCUGAAUACAUCAGCAAAAGAACUGAGCAA